UACGUAGGGUGCAAGCGUUGUUCGGAAUUACUGGGCGUAAAGGGUGCGUAGGCGGCGGGGCAAGUCUGAUGUGAAAUCCCGGGGCUCAACCCCGGAACUGCAUUGGAUACUGCCUUGCUCGAGUACUGGAGAGGGAACUGGAAUUUACGGUGUAGCAGUGAAAUGCGUAGAGAUCGUAAGGAAGGCCAGUGGCGAAGGCGAGUUCCUGGACAGUUACUGACGCUGAGGCACGAAGGCCAGGGGAGCAAACGGG
rnacentral:rRNA from 1 species